CCUGUAUAUAAGCCGCCAUACUCCUUUGUUCGGGGCUCUUGUCGGAUUCCCUUGUGUGGGAUGAGACUUGGGCCCUAGCACGCUAGAGAUAAACUCCCUUCUUGCCCUUGCAUUACCGUGGUGGACUUGCUCUCUCUCGGUCGGUUCAGAGAUACGGGCUCAGAGCAUAACAUUUGGGGGCUCGUCCGGGAUCUCCGUCCCGCCAGGGAGGACAACUCUCCUGGUAGAAGGGAGUAACCUCGUUAAGAGAUAAGAACUCUGAGCACCGGUGAUAACGUUGCAGAAGCCCAGAUUAAGUCCGGGGCCCAGUAUCGUACUGGGGAGGCAUCUGGGUGUAAAGUGCAGAGGCAAGUCAAGUCCAGUGUAAGGUCAGGGCCCGGUUUCGUGCUGGGGAGGCAGCUGGCUCUGUGAACAUCCUGCAGCAAAGAGAGAUGCUGCUGAAGGCCCAGGAAUGAGAGGAAGUAAUGUCCUGAACACCAGCAACUGAUCCCUCAGAGCAGCCGCAGCAGCAGAGGUGGUGGAAAUGAGGUAUCAUAGGGUCAGUGGUCAGCCAGAGUCUGGGCAGUGGACAGUGCUGAAAGGAACUGGGCUGGCAUGGGUGUGGAAUGGGGAUGUAGAACAUUGUAAGCAGGUGUAGAACAUACCCUGGGGAUUAUGGGCUCCAAAUGUGGACAAGAAAUGUCCUAAUACUGGGAGGAAAUGCACGCCAGAGAAAUUUCAGUUUGCUAUGGAUGCUAGUUGAGCUGAGUGGAACUCCCAGGCUGAUGAACCCUAGCAAGUUACACUGCUCCACUGAAAAGAGUUAAUGGUAAUUGCACUGUGAUUAUAUACGAGAAUAUCUCUAUUAAUAAAAUACAGACUUACCUAUGGGAAUGAGCCUUUGCUCAGAAAGAAAGUGUUGUGUAAGUUUGUGUAUGAAUACACAGAGAGGGUAUAUAUGAUAACAUAAACCACAGGUGGAUCUAGGUAGAAGCUAUAUUUGUGUUUAUAAACUAUUUUUAUUUUUACAAUAUUCUGUAAAUUUUCAAAUAUUUCUAACCCCAAACAAAUAAAGAAUGAGAUGACAGUGUGACAUCACAUAAGUAGGGGUUGGAAAAAGGCCUUAAAGUCUCAGGAGAGACUGGAAGGAUGAGACCUGAUGGAGGUGUGUGAGGCCCGUGAGCAUCUGACUGAGGCAGGAGGAGGACAGGCUGCAGGGGAGAACCGUGAGGUCCCGUCCAUCCCGAGAGGCUGCUAUGGAAGGGAGUACCGUGUGAGUGUCGCCUGUGUGACCCAGAGUGCUGCCUCCUGCCCCUCCAG
ensembl:lncRNA